GCGCGCGGGCGGCCGGCCGCCUCGGGGAGCUACUACACGAAGGACGCUACCGGGAGGCCCUGGCCGCCGCCUGCGACGCUCUGCGAGCAGAGCCGAGUGACCUGACUCUCAAAAUCUACAGAGCGGAGUCCUACGCCGGCCUGCAGGAGUUUAAAGCAGCCUUAGAGGAUCUAAAUGCAGUUCUCUUUCAGCUUCCCAACUGGCCCGAGGUCUACUUCAGGAAAGGGAAAGUCCUGCAGGACGCCGGGUUCCUGGGCGACGCCUUACAGCUCUUCCUUCAGUGCUUGGCCCUUGAUGAAGACUUCGCACCUGCAAAGCUGCAAGUAGAAAAGAUUCUGUGUGACUUACUGUCACCUGAAAACGUAAAGGAAGGCCUGAAGGGGUCUUCCUGGAGUUCGUUACCGUGUACUAAAAGCAAACCUCUUGGUUUUCCGUCAGUAAUGG
rnacentral:lncRNA from 1 species